GGACUACACGGGUAUCUAAUCCUGUUUGAUCCCCACGCUUUCGUGCCUCAGCGUCAGUUACAGUUUCGUCAGCUGCCUUCGCAAUCGGUGUUCUGUGUCAUAUCUAUGCAUUUCACCGCUACAUGACACAUUCCGCCAACGGCAUCUGUACUCUAGCCCUGCAGUAUCAAUGGCACCUCGACAGUUAAGCUGCCGUAUUUCACCACUGACUUACAAGGCCGCCUACGCACCCUUUAAACCCAAUAAAUCCGGAUAACGCUUGCAUCCUUCGUAUUACCGCGGCUGCUGGCAC
rnacentral:rRNA from 2 species